rnacentral:rRNA from 1 species
CCGAUGGUGAGAGUGGCGCACGGGUGCGUAACGCGUGAGCAACCUGCCCAUAUCAGGGGGAUAGCCCGGAGAAAUCCGGAUUAACACCGCAUGACACUGCUUUCCGGCAUCGGGAGGUAGUUAAAUAUUUAUAGGAUAUGGAUGGGCUCGCGUGACAUUAGCUAGUUGGUGAGGUAACGGCUCACCAAGGCGACGAUGUGUAGGGGCUCUGAGAGGAGAAUCCCCCACACUGGUACUGAGACACGGACCAGACUCCUACGGGAGGCAGCAGUAAGGAAUAUUGGUCAAUGGAGGCAACUCUGAACCAGCCAUGCCGCGUGCAGGAUGACUGCCCUAUGGGUUGUAAACUGCUUUUGUUA